rnacentral:tRNA from 1 species
GUCAGGAUAGCUCAGUUGGUAGAGCAUUCGCCUGAAGAGCGAAGGGUCGGCGGUUCGAGCCCGCCUCCUGACACCA